AUUAGUACUGUAAUAUCUUCUCCACCCGAUUUACUGGCAAGCUCCGGCGGCCGUGCAGGCUGGUAGACAUGCCCGCCUCUACCCCCCCUCCCCCUCUUGCUGUCAAUUCGCCUGCACAAGCCCCACAGGCUACCCAUGCCUUGUACAGACACACGAACGUGCCGUGCAGGCUGGUAGACAUGCCCCCCUCCAUCCCCCCUCCCCCCCUCACUGUUAAUUCGCCUGCACAAGCCACCGCAGGCUAUCCAUGCCUAGUACAGACACACGAACGUGCCGUGCAGGCUGGUAGACAUGCCCGCCUCUACCCCCCCUCCCCCCCUCGCUGUCAAUUCGCCUGCACAAGCCUCCAAAGGCUACACAUGCCUUGUACAGACACAUGAACGUGCCGUGCAGGCUGGUAGACAUGCCCCCCUCCAUCCCCCCUCCCCCCCUCACUGUUAAUUCGCU
rnacentral:lncRNA from 1 species